rnacentral:tRNA from 1 species
AACGCUGGCAAAUAUUGGUUUUCGUGGACUUUUAAUCCGUUGGUCACAAGUUCGAAUCUUGUACGUCCUACCA